rnacentral:tRNA from 1 species
GGCGCGAUGGCAGAGUGGCUUAUGCGAUGGUCUGCAAAACCAUAUACAGGGGUUCAAUUCCCCUUCGCGCCU